ACGGCGGCCGUAACUAUAACGGUCCUAAGGUAGCGAAAUUCCUUGUCGGGUAAGUUCCGACCUGCACGAAUGGCGUAAUGAUGGCCAGGCUGUCUCCACCCGAGACUCAGUGAAAUUGAACUCGCUGUGAAGAUGCAGUGUACCCGCGGCAAGACGGAAAGACCCCGUGAACCUUUACUAUAGCUUGACACUGAACAUUGAGCCUUGAUGUGUAGGAUAGGUGGGAGGCUUUGAAGUGUGGACGCCAGUCUGCAUGGAGCCGACCUUGAAAUACCACCCUUUAAUGUUUGAUGUUCUAACGUGGACCCGUUACCCGGGUUGCGGACAGUGUCUGGUGGGUAGUUUGACUGGGGCGGUCUCCUCCUAAAGAGUAACGGAGGAGCACGAAGGUUGGCUAAUCCUGGUCGGACAUCAGGAGGUUAGUGCAAUGGCAUAAGCCAGCUUGACUGCGAGCGUGACGGCGCGAGCAGGUGCGAAAGCAGGUCAUAGUGAUCCGGUGGUUCUGAAUGGAAGGGCCAUCGCUCAACGGAUAAAAGGUACUCCGGGGAUAACAGGCUGAUACCGCCCAAGAGUUCAUAUCGACGGCGGUGUUUGGCACCUCGAUGUCGGCUCAUCACAUCCUGGGGCUGAAGUAGGUCCCAAGGGUAUGGCUGUUCGCCAUUUAAAGUGGUACGCGAGCUGGGUUUAGAACGUCGUGAGACAGUUCGGUCCCUAUCUGCCGUGGGCGCUGGAGAACUGAGGGGGGCUGCUCCUAGUACGAGAGGACCGGAGUGGACGCAUCACUGGUGUUCGGGUUGUCAUGCCAAUGGCACUGCCCGGUAGCUAAAUGCGGAAGAGAUAAGUGCUGAAAGCAUCUAAGCACGAAACUUGCCCCGAGAUGAGUUCUCCCUGAGACUUAGAGUCUCCUGAAGGAACGUUGAAGACGACGACGUUGAUAGGCCGGGUGUGUAAGCGCAGCGAUGCGUUGAGCUAACCGGUACUAAUGAACCGUGAGGCUUAACCUUACAACGCCGAAG
rnacentral:rRNA from 1 species